UACUGAAACCCCUAGAUAAUGAUUACGACCGAUUAUACAAGAUGCCAUGUUCCUUAAUCAUAUCACUUACAUUUCUGCUGAACGGCAGUGACAAGGUUUUGAAAGGAGAAGAUCACAGCUGUCCAAUAAAAAAAAAAUCAGAUAAACCACACAGUGUUUGCAGACAGAAGAUUAUGCUAACCUGAAAAGUAGCUUUAGUGCUGUUGAUAUUUGCACUCUCCCUAACUGAGCUGAACCCUCAUUCAUCCUCUCUGUUUGGCAUCGCAUCUGAAAUGGAGGUGAUUGAUGCAUGAGCAGAUUGCAGGUCUCAGAGUUCCGGGCACUGCAUACCAGUCCUGAAGCAGACAGCUGGAGUGAGAAAAUCCUCUCCUUGCCCUAGAGAACACGUGAAACCAAUGAAUACUCUUCCAGGAGAGCAGAUUCUUUUCCCAUAACCCACAAUGAAUCAACAAGUUUCAAGUGAGAUCGAGACUACUUGAGAUUCUUUCGGAUUCAGUUGUGCACAUAUGGACGGAUGCCAAUGGAACCAAUGGAAUGUCUCUGAGUAUACAUUCAGUGUGGCUGAGUUCUGCUUAUAAGGCAAGCUCAGACUUAAGCAUGGGUUGUGGCCUAAACAGAAAAAACAAUGUAGAGACAUAAAGUUCACCAAGACAUGGAAGCCAUGGUAAAAAGAGGUCCUGAACAAGCCUGAAGUUCUCUGCAGCCAUAAAGAGGUGUAAUACUACACCUGAGUGGAUGUGUCUGAACUACAGCAAGUACCUUGGAUAACAGUACUGGAGUAACAGCCACAUGAACUUCAAUACGCAGUU